CCACCUAAGGCCCCGCGCGGUGCGGCGCCGAUCUCGGUCCGGGCUGGUUCCGGUUCCGGUGUGGUGCCGGUGCUGAUGCUGGUGCCACCAUGGUGGGCCCGGGCGCAGCGCCGCUGGAGAACGCGAACCCGCUCAUCUACCGCCGCUCCGGAGAGCGCCCCGUGACGGCCCGCGAGGAGGACGACGAGCUGCCUGACGCCAUCGACGACCGGGAGAUCUUCGAUCUCAUCCGCUCCAUCAAUGACCCCGAGCACCCGCUCACCCUGGAGGAGCUGAACGUCGUCGAGCAAGUGCGAGUGAAAGUGAACGAUGCCGAGAGCACCGUGUCGGUGGAGUUCACCCCCACCAUCCCGCACUGCAGCAUGGCCACCCUCAUCGGCCUCUCCAUCAAGGUCAAACUGCUCCGCUCUCUGCCCGACAGGUUCAAGCUGGAUGUUCACAUAACACCAGGAACACAUGCCUCUGAGCACGCAGUUAAUAAACAGCUCGCUGAUAAAGAACGUGUGGCAGCUGCUUUGGAAAACUCUCACCUGCUGGAAGUGGUGAAUCAGUGUUUGACUGCUCGGUCAUAAUUGCCUGGAUGGGCGAGACACGAACCGUGCCUUGGUCCAGCUGGGAAGAAUGAAAGCCAGCUCACACAGCAGGCUCUGGAAUACAUAAAUGAAACAAGAUGCCAAGGAGAGGAAAUGCAUGAGAGCUGCCAAGGAUGUGGUGCAAGCUGUGAUGGAGAGGCCCUGAUCAGCCACAGUCAAGUCUGGGCCAGGAAAAGCGCUCGCUACAGGAGCCCUGCACAGAGCCCAGCCAGCACACCUUCGGAUGCUCCAGGAUGGGAUUUCUCCUGCUUCCCACAGCUCUUCAGUCCAGCCUGGCACAGCCAGCACACCUCGGGAUGCUCCAGGAUGGGAUUUCUGCUUCCCACACAGAGCCCAGGCUGACACAGCCAGCACACCUCGGGAUGCUCCAGGAUGGGAUUUCUGCUUCCUACACAGAGCCCAGCCUGGCACAGCCAGCACACCUCGGGAUGCUCCAGGAUGGGAUUUCUCCUGCUUCCUACACAGAGCCCACCACCUCUGCCCGCCCCUUUUGCCGGGCUCAUCACCCUGAUCCCGGGCUCCAAGGCGUGAUCCUGCUGGAUCAUGUUGUUUUUUCCGUUUGCACUUCACUAAAUCCCUUCAAGAGCAAAAAAUCAGUGUAUACCAUCCGCAGCAGCUCUGUCCCUAGCUAAAGUGAUGGACUGUUCUUACAACAGGAUGUCUUUUCCGUUCAUAAAAUCUUUUUUUUUUUUUUUUUUUUAACUACCACAGUUUCAGCUGAACUGACUUGCAAUUUAUUUCAGCUGACUUGAUAAUUAUUGAAGCAUUCCAUUCUAACCUGGGUGAUGUUUAAUGAAAUCUGCCGCAAAAUCGUUUGUGGCUUUAGCCUUUGUAGAAAAACCUCACAAAUAUGUAAUAGAUAUUGAGAAAUAAAUAGGAACAGAAUAGAAUGCAUUGUUAUUUUCUGUCACAGCUAAUCAAGGGAAGCCUAUACAUCAACAUGGCUUGAUGGUGCCAGGAUGACAGACUCAUUUCUCCAAUGAACCAUUUUCUUCUUAUAUGGCAAAAAAGCACUGCAUCUGUAUGAGAUCAUCCAGAAAAGUCCUCCUUCCUGAAAAAUACUAUAUUCUUUUUUGUUGCCUAGCUACAUGCUGCUGUUACCUUAGAAGGCUGUAGAUUCUUCUGGUGGAGCUGGUGUGCUUGAACAGAGGAGUGAUGCAAAUUUAUAACCCUUGUAAAGAUAUGAAAGAAAGGGGUAUCUGCUACAGGCAGCUGCUGGAAACUGGCUGUAAGUUGAGUCUGACCCAGGAUGGCUCCUUUAAUUUGUUAUUGUAAAUAGACUCAUUCCUCUUGCCAAGAGCUAUUGCCGGUAAACAAUAAAUCUUCCUUUCUCACUUUG